UACGGGGGGGGCAAGCGUUGUUCGGAAUUACUGGGCGUAAAGGGCUCGUAGGUGGCCAACUAAGUCAGACGUGAAAUCCCUCGGCUUAACCGGGGAACUGCGUCUGAUACUGGAUGGCUAGAGUUUGGGAGAGGGAUGCGGAAUUCCAGGUGUAGCGGUGAAAUGCGUAGAGAUGUGGAGGAAUACCGAUGGCGAAGGCAGCCCCCUGGGAUAACACUGACGCUCAUGCACGAAAGCGUGGGGAGCAAACAGG
rnacentral:rRNA from 1 species